GUCACCACUCUCCUGCGUGAGGUGUUUAACAUUUCAGCUGUGCUUUCUGCGUGAAGACAAUUGGCUUGGGCUUUGGCGUAAAGGAUCUAAGGUAUAACAGAUCUUCUGAGAAGUGGUAACCCCUGCUGCCCACCUGCCUCUCUCCUGAGUUGAGUGGGACUGGGGGCAGGUGGGGAGUGAAAUGAGGCUUGCACAGAGGAAAGACCAGUUAGCCAACCAGUAUCGUAUGACGUCAGAGUUGAUCAGGUGAGAUAGCAAAGGGAAAUUCUUCCUCCCUGAGUACUAAAUUGGAGUCUCUUUUCCCAACAGUUUCAUUGUUUCCCUGAAAGCACGUGGAGCAGAGUGAAAUGGGGUUUCAUCAUGUGGGCCAGGCUAGUCGCAGACUUCUGGCCUCAAGUGAUCUGCCCACCUCGGCCUCCCCAUGUGCUGGGAUUACAGGCAUGAGCCACCGCACCUGGCCUCAUCAUGUAUAUUUCCUGCCCUAGCCCUAGAGUCAGCCAUUUCUUCAAGGACCUCUGUUUCCUUUUACUGGGGGAUACUAGAAAGAAACCAAGAUCACGGUGCUAGGUGUGCCUAUUGCUCCUGGAAUGUCAUUACUUCUGGGCCAUCUUCCCUGAGAAAGCAAAGAAACAUAACCCCUAGAACCAGUGACUGGUGCAUAGAACAGGCUUCAUCACUUCAUGUGGAGCGGGUUCCCACUUGCAUUCUCCUCUCCCCAGUUUAGCACCCGUUCAAAUAAGGUAUGUUCUCAUAUAUAAGCUUAUAAAAUGCUUAGUACUGUAUUUAUGAUGUCUAUGUAGAUUUGUUUGGGAGGACAGUUAUCAGUUUGGGAAAAUCUCAUCCCUGCCUAGCUGUGGUUUAAGUGCCACUCACUAAGAAGUGAAGGUGGGAGUUGGGCUCCACCCCUCUUGGAUUAAUAAUUAAGAAGUUCGUUUUGUCGGAAGAGAGGGAAAGAAAGCAGGAGAGUGUGGCCGGGCGCAGUGGCUCAUGCCUGUAAUCCCAGCACUUUGGGAGGCUGAGGUGGGCGAAUCACAAGGUCAGGAGAUCGAGACCAUCCUGGCCAACAUGGUGAAACCCCGUCUCUACUAAAAAUACAAAAAUUAGCUGGGUGUGGUGGCUUGUGCCUGUAAUCCCAGCUACUCAGGAGCCUGAGGCAGGAGAACCGCUUGAAACAGGGAGCUGGAGGUUGCAGUGAGCCGAGAUCGUGCCGCUGUGCUCCAGCCUGGUGACAGAGCAAGACUCUGUCUCAAAAAACAAAACAAAACAAAACAAAAAAGACAAAAAAAAAAAAAGCAGGAGAGUGUGACUAGAGGUGUUAGGGGACUUAGUGUCAAAGAGAAUUUUUUUGGCUGGGCAUGGCUCACACCUGUAAUCCCAGCACUUUAACAGGCCUAGGUGGGAGGAUCACUUAAGGCCAGGAGUUGGAGGCCAGCCUGGGCAACAUAAAGAGACCCCUGUCACCACACACACACAUACACACACACACACACCCAAAUUAAGAGUGUUUUUUUCUUUAUUGGAUGUGUUCAUCUGAUCCAAGGCUCUGGAAAGGAAGCUAGAGGAAACACUUUUUAUUCAGAGCCUUUUGGGAGGAGGAAUGAAGGAGGCAGUGUAUCCAUCCUCAGGUAGACAGGAGAUGCAGCCAAGACAUCUUAAUGGAGAAAGGGCUCUGCUGAUGACAGCAGCUUAGCAGCCGUGUAAGGACCCGCCUACUAGUUUAAAAAAACUCGAAUCUACUUUUUUACUUUUUUCAAGAUAGGUUCUGGCUCUGUUGCCCAGGCUGGAGUGCAGUGACACCAUCUUGGCUCACUGCAACCUCUGCUUUUCUGUUUCAGGCAAUUCUCCAGACUCAGCCUCCUGAGUAGCUGGGAUUACAGGCACACACCACCACGUCCUGCUAAUUUUUGUAUUUUUUGUAGAGAUAGAGUUUUGCCAUGUUGGCCACGUCUCGAACUGGCUCAGGCAUUCUGCCCGCCUUGCUCUCCCAAAGUGCUGGCGUGAGCCAUUGCACCCGGCCUACAUUUUCUUAUUAUAGUAGAUUGUCUUUUAUACUGAGUUUCUGUCUCUUAGGUGGCAGAUUGCAAUUAACUAAAGUAUUACUUUGGACUUGAUGUAGAGACAAUAUGCUAUCUGCAAUGUACUUAAUCUUUUAUUUAUUUAUUUAUUUAGUUAGUUAGUUUUUGACAUGGAGUCUUACUCUGUGGCCCAGGCUGGAGUGCAAUGGCGUGAUCUUGGCUCACUGCAACCUCCGCCUCCCGGGUUCAAGCAAUUCUCCUGCCUCAGCCUCCUGACUAGCUGGGAUUACAGGCGCCUACCAGCAUGCCCACCUAGUGUUUUGUAUUUUUAGUGGAGACUGGGUUUCACCAUGUUGGCCAGGCUGGUCUGAAACUCCUGACCUCAAGUGAUCUGCCCACCUCGGCCUCCCAAAGUGCUGGGAUUACAGGCAUGAGCCAUCGUGCCCUACCUGUUUGGAGAAAUUUUUGAGGUUAUUAGAACAUCUCUAGAGAUUACCCAGAUACUACAAAUAUAGACAAAGGUAUUUGUGCUUAUCAUUCUAAACCACAUCUCAAAGCAGGACAACCAUACUAAUGUGCUAAUUGUGAUCCGUGGGUGCUAAUGCUUAUCCUCCGUUAGGCCUGUUGUCCCAGCCCGAUUAUUAACAUCGCCUCCCUGUUAAUUGAGCGACUCAAUUUAGGAUUAUGUUUCUGCAGCGUCUCCGCCCUCUAGUGGCAAAAUAGUGUCAGUAGACGAAGUGGAGAAAGUAGGCUUUUGUGCAAUACACUCAGGAACCAAAAAGUAUCCCCUUCAGAGUGUAAAACUAGAGCUGCAAAAGAGAUAUCCAGUCUCCUAAGCACCUGGAGGACAUGAUGAGAUCACUCAACUCAUCGCAACAAAACGAGAUGGGACCCUCACAAAUAGGUUUUUUCGAUUGGUUUUUGUUUAUAUUUUUACUUAUUGACAUAAUUUAAAAUACUACCAAAACUAGGCCUGGCGUGGUGGCUCACGCCUGUAAUCCCAGCGCUUUGGGAGGCCGAAGCGGGCAGAUCACGAGGUCAGGAGUUCAAGACCAACCUGGCCAACAUGGUGAAACCCCGUCUCUACUAAAAAUACAAAAAUGAGCAGGGCGUGGUGGCAGGCACCUGUAAUCCCAGCUAGUCGGGACACUGAAGCAGGAGAAUCGCUUGAACCUGGGAGGCAGAGGUUGCAGUGAGCAGAGAUGGUGGCUACUGCACUCCAGCCUGGGUGACAGAGCGAGACUCUGUUUAAAAAAUAAAUAAAUAAAAAAAAUAAAAAUUACCCAAACCCAAGAGAGGCAUAUGAAAAAUGAGCACACAAGCAUGAUUGCUGGUAGUAUAAAGAGGAAUAACUUUUCAGGAGGACACUUUGCCAUUAGGUUUCAAAAUGUGAUAGUACUGUUGACGGCAUAAUCCCAUCAUUGGGAGUUUAUGUGAAGAGUAUGUUUAUCAAGAAGCAAAAGAUAUAGAAGCAAAA
ensembl:lncRNA